rnacentral:rRNA from 1 species
UACGUAGGGGGCUAGCGUUGUCCGGAAUCAUUGGGCGUAAAGAGCGUGUAGGCGGCUCGGUAAGUCCGCUCUGAAAGCCCGGGGCUCAACCCCGGGAGGCGGGCGGAUACUGUCGGGCUAGAGUCCGGAAGAGGCGAGUGGAAUUCCUGGUGUAGCGGUGAAAUGCGCAGAUAUCAGGAAGAACACCUAUGGCGAAGGCAGCUCUCUGGGACGGUACUGACGCUGAGACGCGAAAGCGUGGGGAGCGAACAGG